rnacentral:lncRNA from 1 species
AUCCACAUGGCAUGGAAAGCAUGACCAAAUUUCCAUUGCCUGAACUAGCUUCACACGGUAGCUUUUCCACUACUGACAUGUAUUGGAACAUCCAAACUCCAUGUGGAAUGAAUAUAAAAAUCUCAAAGUAAAAUGAUAGUUGAACACAAGAACGACCGAUGUUAUGGAAUCUAUAAUCAUAUACUCACUACAGGAAAUUGCCAUGUUAAACUACAUCCCAGAAACCACACAAAGAUUACACAACCUGUUAUGAACUCCGACCAUCUUCCUCACGAACAACAACAAUUCUGUCCCAAGCACCUCAUGUGACCUUCUCCCCUAGCGCAUGGUGACCUUCCUCCCUAUGUUCACCUGGGCAGCGGAUGGCAGAACGGCGCGUGGAUGGUGAGAACUACACAGUUAGCACACACAUUGAACUCUAGAAGCUGGCUAGGACGAACUUCAAAGAGAGCAGGCACACACCCAGCAGGCAUGGUGGCAGCGGCGCAGGGAGGACGAGUCACGUGCAUGCGUACCUUGGCGAACCCCUCGCUGGUGUCGGUCUGCGUGCCAAAGAGGAGGGCUACCUGCUGGCGGCCAUCGUCGUGGUCGGGCUCCUGCUCCUUCUUGGAGACGAGGGCCUUGGCCGCGGUGGCCUUGUGGGCCAGGUGCG